CUUUUGCGGCACGUUCUCCACUCUGAAAACACAUUGAACAGCUUCUUUAAAAGACACUGCAGUAGAACUUCUAAGAGAGAUUUUUCAAGAAAAAAACACUUCUCUUCGAUCCUUCACUUAUUUCCUUUCAAUUUCUAAAGAGCACAUACUUGUUCAUCAGUUCGGGGAUCCUUCGCUGCACACGACUGAUCUGACGGGUUGACGUAUCUUGGGAGAGGAACGCAUUAAAGUUCUCGUUCUACCCUGUGUAGUGGGGGCGUUUUCUCUCUAAGGACAGCGCCUAGCGUGCUUCAACCCAGGCUUCAUCUAAACCCUUUCUCUUAUUAUUUUAUUGUUGUUUUGUUAAUGUAUUGAAUCAUAUUGUGUUUAAUCAAUAUCAGUAUGUAAUUCCCCUUUGAAUAUACAUUUGAUGUCUUUCAACGUUUGUUGUUGUAUAUUUAAUUUUCACACUCAUAAUUAUUUUCUAACAAAAGGGGUUAAAGGUUACUGGGUGUAUAUGAAAGGAUGAAAAUGGAGGGUGCUGCCAUAUGGUAUUUACGAGGUUUGCAAAGUGAGCUUUCUUUCCUCUUCCCCUUUCUAAUUGUGAUAUGAUUCUGUUUUUGGUUGUAUAUUAAGGGGUUUCUUUUCAUCUUCCUCUCUUCUGUACAUGGUUCCUGCUAUUGCUGGUUCAUGAUGGGUUUGGCUUGGUUGAGGUCGCAGGGAAAGGGGUUCAAAAGGGUUUAAUUUUAUUUUUUAAAUUAAUUGAUAUUAUUUAUUUUAUUUAUUUACUGAUGUGUCAUACAUGGUGGUGUAAUUAGUAAAAAGGAAUCAAAGUAAGAAUAUUCUGUUUAAAAUUGGAUGGCAACUAACGACAAGACCCAAUUGUCACAAAUCGAUCUUUGGUGGACCAAAAUCGCUCCUUUUAAACAAAGGGGAUUCAAAUUGCACAAAGGUCAAACAUCAGGGACCAAAAGUGCAAUUAAGCCUUUUAAAUACCAAUAAGAGCCUUGGAAACAAAGUCUCCCAAGUGAGCAAAGUUGAAGCCAGAAACAGGAAGAAGAACAAAAAGGAUAAAAGGAUAACAAGACAUAAAUAAAAAUAGAACAAAUUAAGUAGCUGCUAACAGAGAACACAGAGGCUUGAGACCCAAAAUCCACAGGAAGGCAAGCUACCAGGGCAAAGACAGAAUGCGAGCAGAAUACAGAGGCACCUUACAGAAUACAGAGGCACCUCUUCCAAACACAGCCAACAGCAGCAAAAACUUCUGACAGAAAUAGCUUGCCUACUAAGCUUCAUCGCAGCACAUAAUCACCAGCAAAAAACUUAAUAAAUCAAGAGAGCAGGGACCAAAUGGGAGAGGCCCUAUUACAACCUGAUUUGGCCAAAUAAUUUGCUAGAGGGUUAGAUUCUCUAUAAAUGUGAUUUACAUCAAUGCAAUCAACCUCAGCCAUAAGUGCACCAAUUAAGUUCAAAUCAUUUAAUAAGAUCCCAUAGAACUUGAUCUGAUCUAACCCGUAGUUCUGUUAGAGAGCUUAACUUGUACAGGGUUUCUAUACGACUAUACCCUUCAUUGUGCUGAUUAACAAUCAAUAAUGAGAAUUACCCUUCAGGGUUUCUAUACCUGAAGAAGCAGACGCUUAGUUCAGGUAUACUUAGAUGAUUGAUUUCCCUGAACUAUAGAUGCCUAUAUGGGUUCUAAAUAGGCAUCCAUAUAUCAUGCAGUUGAGUUCUCUUUUAAGUCUCUUUUUAACUCAUGAAAUUAAACAAUAAAUCGGAAUUGUUUGUGUUGCUUUUUGCUCUUCUACUUCUACUUGGUCUUCCAUCUUCCAACUUAAGCCAUACCACUUGCAAAUGAGUGACUGUAACAAGCUCUAAAUUAAACUGUUUCCUUCAUGAGAAAUUUUCCUUCAAACAUUACAGUUUUCUUCUGAAUUUUUUAGUGUUCCUGUGAAAUUAACGUGACGUGCAUAAAUUGUUACUGGGGUUGUCUCCAAUGUGGUUGCUAGCUGCUCUGCUUAGGUGACUAUGGUCCCAAAAAUCCACAUCCAAACCAGGAUUUCUAUUCAGAGGGAAACAAACUCAUUUGGAGUUAGAAUUAGCACAAGGGGGGGAACUAGGAAAGGGAGGGGAACUGGGAAAUCGUCUUCAAGCUUCAGCUUGCAGCAAACACUUGACUGCCUAUGCUUUUGAUAAUUGGAAGGGUAGAGUGGACCACUUUGUCUUCGAAGCGAUGCUCGUAUAAAAAUGUAAAUUAUCAUAUGGAGUCACUUACUUAUAAAAUGAUCUAUGAUUUUUGAGCAAUUACUAUACAAUGUUUCUGAUUUUUAGUAUUAGUUGCUUUUGCCUACAAACACAAAUGCAUAGU